GGGUUGUGAGGUUAAGCGACUAAGCGUACACGGUGGAUGCCCUGGCAGUCAGAGGCGAUGAAGGACGUGCUAAUCUGCGAUAAGCGCCGGUAAGGUGAUAUGAACCGUUAUAACCGGCGAUUUCCGAAUGGGGAAACCCAGUGUGAUUCGUCACACUAUCAUUAACUGAAUCCAUAGGUUAAUGAGGCGAACCGGGGGAACUGAAACAUCUAAGUACCCCGAGGAAAAGAAAUCAACCGAGAUUCCCCCAGUAGCGGCGAGCGAACGGGGAGGAGCCCAGAGCCUGAAUCAGCAUGUGUGUUAGUGGAAGCGUCUGGAAAGGCGCGCGAUACAGGGUGACAGCCCCGUACACAAAAAUGCACAUGCUGUGAGCUCGAUGAGUAGGGCGGGACACGUGGUAUCCUGUCUGAAUAUGGGGGGACCAUCCUCCAAGGCUAAAUACUCCUGACUGACCGAUAGUGAACCAGUACCGUGAGGGAAAGGCGAAAAGAACCCCGGCGAGGGGAGUGAAAAAGAACCUGAAACCGUGUACGUACAAGCAGUGGGAGCACCCUUUGGGGUGUGACUGCGUACCUUUUGUAUAAUGGGUCAGCGACUUAUAUUCUGUAGCAAGGUUAACCGUAUAGGGGAGCCGGAGGGAAACCGAGUCUUAACCGGGCGUUAAGUUGCAGGGUAUAGACCCGAAACCCGGUGAUCUAGCCAUGGGCAGGUUGAAGGUUGGGUAACACUAACUGGAGGACCGAACCGACUAAUGUUGAAAAAUUAGCGGAUGACCUGUGGCUGGGGGUGAAAGGCCAAUCAAACCGG
rnacentral:rRNA from 1 species